AGCGGCAAGGUCUGGAGUGAAG
rnacentral:miRNA from 12 species